rnacentral:rRNA from 1 species
CAGUAGCCGCGGUAAUACGGAGGGGGCUAGCGUUGUUCGGAAUUACUGGGCGUACAGCGCACGUAGGCGGCUUGGUAAGUUAGAGGUGAAAGCCUGGAGCUCAACUCCAGAAUUGCCUUUAAGACUGCCGAGCUAGCAGGUGAGAGAGGUAAGUGGAAUUCCGAGUGUAGAGGUGAAAUUCGUAGAUAUUCGGAAGAACACCAGUGGCGAAGGCGGCCAUCUGGGACAACACUGACGCUGAGGCACGAAAGCGUGGGGAGCAAACAGGAUUAGAUACCCCCGUAGUCCCUGUCUCUUAUAC